UACGUAGGGCGCGAGCGUGUCCGGAAUUAUUGGGCGUAAAGAGCUCGUAGGCGGCCUGUUGCGUCCGCUGUGAAAUCCCAGGGCUCAACCCUGGGCGUGCAGUGGAUACGGGGCAGGCUGGAGGCAGGCAGGGGAGAACGGAAUUCCCGGUGUAGCGGUGAAAUGCGCCAGAUAGUCGGGAGGAACGACCGGUGGCGAAGGCGGUUCUCUGGGCCUGUAC
rnacentral:rRNA from 1 species